CACCAUUUCUGAUCCUAAGCACCUCCAAAAUACGCCUAAGACAUCUCCCUCUCAUCUAAAUAAAGUUCUACAAGAAAUCAAAGUGGUUUUCCCUUGGAGAUCAUAAAAGUGUAAGAAAAAGCUUGUUCUUUCAUUGUUGUGGUGGAUUAAAGUUACUUCAAGCUGAAAUAAGGUGUAAGGCGGGAUGAGUUUUGUGCAUCUAAGUGUAGUUUUGACCUUGCGGAAAGUAGAGGAAAAGAGGGGAGGUGCUAUUCGAUUUUGUAUAAGCAAGUUGCCGCUUGUCAGUGAUGGUUAUGCUUCUUAUGUUAAUAAAAGAUUGUGUUUCCAUCUUGUAGACCAGUGUAUUGGUGAGUCGCUUGUGGAGUUGUGAAGGACGUCUAUGGUUGAACGCAUAGUAUGUGAUAGGGUCGACUUCCUGUCCUCGUGGCUGAUUCCUGAGGCUUUGCUAACGAGCAUCUAGGGUGAGCACAUGGAUCGAUUCGCAGCUCAGAUGCCUCUUCUUAUUUACUUGUCUUAUUUUGAUAUUCCGAGAUAGUAUUCCACUUUUCAGACUAUAUUCAGACUCGUAGUAUUUGUAGUAGUGGCUCUUGUACGACCCUAGACCAGAUUACUUAGGAUUAUUUGUAUUAUUUCGUCACUUAUUUACUUAUCUAUUCUAGACUUAAUAUAUGAAUUCCAUGGUUGGGUUUACUUUAUUUUUAAUUUGAAUUGUGAUAAGUGAUGGGUUCGCCUACCAGGUGGGAAAAGGCUAGGUGCCCGCACGUUCCCCAAUUUGGGACGUGACAUUCUUAGCUUGUUGUGGUGAGAUUGAAGUUACUUCAAGUUGAAGUAAGGUGUAAGGGGGGAUGAUUUUUGUGCUUCUAAGGUUCUGAUAGACAGAUAGAGAGACCUUCCCAGUAGAUAAUGUAGAGUAUUUGCUUGAUUGGUAAGCUCCACUUCAUCAGGAGUUACCAGGUCCAGAGUUAGUAUUGCUUUGUGUAUAUGGAGAUGAUGGGUAGGCUGGAACCCUGUCCCAACCACAAUAUAGUUUGAUCUUCUUGGAGGAUUGUAGACGUUUCCUGUAUAUUCAGUAUAUCAGCAUGGUGACCUUGUCAGCUCUUUUUUAUAUCUUGUUUUGGGUUUUGUUGUUUGUAUAUGUGAAGUGGCCUUGUCAGCCCAUGCAGAUAUGUUAUGUAUAUACAUUGGGAUGAUCCCAUUCAAAGAGAUGUCUGUCAUUUACAGAGUUCAAGAUUUCGGCCUUAUCGGCCUGAGAUGUCAUGUUUUACUUAUAGUUGGCCUUUUUGGCCCAAAUUGUUAUAUGUAUGUCUAGAGUUCAUGAGUUA